rnacentral:rRNA from 1 species
AGUGAACGCUGGCGGUAGGCCUAACACAUGCAAGUCGAACGGCAGCACAGUAAGAGCUUGCUCUUACGGGUGGCGAGUGGCGGACGGGUGAGGAAUACAUCGGAAUCUACUUUUUCGUGGGGGAUAACGUAGGGAAACUUACGCUAAUACCGCAUACGACCUACGGGUGAAAGCAGCGGAUCUUCGGACCUCGCGCGAUUGAAUGAGCCGAUGUCGGAUUAGCGAGUUGGCGGGGUAAAGGCCCACCAAGGCGACGACCCGUAGCUGGUCUGAGAGGAUGAUUGGCCACACUGGAAGUGAGAGACGGUCCAGACUCCUAAGGGAGGCAGCAGUGGGGAAUAUUAGACAAUGGGCGCAAGCCUGAUCCAGCAAUACCGCGUGGGUGAAGAAGGCCUUCGGGUUGGAAAGCCCUUUUGUUGGGAAAGAAAAGCAGCACGUUAAUACCCCGCUGUUCUGACGGUACCCAAAGAAUAAGCACCGGCUAACUUCGUG